rnacentral:rRNA from 1 species
UGGGGAAUUUUGCACAAUGGGGGCAACCCUGAUGCAGCGACGCCGCGUGAUUUAGAAGGCCUUCGGGUUGUAAAAAUCUUUUGUAUGGGAAGAAAAUGACAGUACCAUACGAAUAAGGACCGGCUAAUUACGUGCCAGCAGCCGCGGUAAUACGUAAGGUCCGAGCGUUGUCCGGAAUCAUUGGGCGUAAAGGGUACGUAGGCGGAUAAGCAAGUUAGAAGUGAAAUCCUAUAGCUCAACUAUAGUAAGCUUUUAAAACUGCUCAUCUUGAGGUAUGGAAGGGAAAGUGGAAUUCCUGGUGUAGCGGUGAAAUGCGCAGAUAUUAGGAGGAAUACCGGUGGCGAAGGCGACUUUCUGGCCAUAAACUGACGCUGAGGUACGAAAGCGUGGGUAGCAAACAGG